AGUGAACGCUGGCGGUAGGCCUAACACAUGCAAGUCGAACGGCAGCACAGUAAGAGCUUGCUCUUACGGGUGGCGAGUGGCGGACGGGUGAGGAAUACAUCGGAAUCUACUUUUUCGUGGGGGAUAACGUAGGGAAACUUACGCUAAUACCGCAUACGACCUACGGGUGAAAGCCGGGGAUCUUCGGACCUUGCGCGAUUGAAUGAGCCGAUGUCGGAUUAGCUAGUUGGCGGGGUAAAGGCCCACCAAGGCGACGAUCCGUAGCUGGUCUGAGAGGAUGAUCAGCCACACUGGAACUGAGACACGGUCCAGACUCCUACGGGAGGCAGCAGUGGGGAAUAUUGGACAAUGGGCGCAAGCCUGAUCCAGCCAUACCGCGUGGGUGAAGAAGGCCUUCGGGUUGUAAAGACCUUUUGUUGGGAAAGAAAAGCAGCAGGUUAAUACCCCGCUGUUCUGACGGUACCCAAAGAAUAAGCACCGGCUAACUUCGUG
rnacentral:rRNA from 1 species